rnacentral:rRNA from 1 species
CCUGCAGUCGACGGUUGAGGAAGAGCUUUGUCGCUUCACUGACGAGGGGGGGGGGGGAGAAUAAUGUGUGGAAACCGGCCUGAUGAAGGGGAUUAACUACUGAAAACGGUAGUUAAAACCGAAAAACGUUUGAAGACCAAGGAGGGGAACCUUCGGGCCUCUUGCCAUCGCAUGUGCCCAUAUGCCCUUAGCUAAUAAGUGAGGUAACGGCUCACCUAGUCAACGAUCCCUAGAUGGUUUGACAGGAUGACCGGCCACUCUGGAACUGAGACAGGACCCAACUCCUACGGUAGGACGCAGGGGAGAAUAUUGCCAAUGCCCGAAUGCCUGAUGCACUCAUGCCGCGUGUAUGAAGAAGGCCUUCGGGUUGUAAAGUACUUUCACUGUGGAGGAAGGGAAUAAGGUUAAUAACCUUGUUAAUUGACGUCCCCCGCGGAACAAACCCCGAAUAACUCCGUGCCAUACGCCGCGGAAAUACGGAGGGUGCAAGCGUUAAUCGGAAUUUCUGGAAUUAUAGCGCACGCAGGGGGCCUGGCAGGUUUCUUGUGAAAUCCCCGAACUCACCCCGGGUAACUGCAUUCGAAACUGGGAGGCUAGAGUCUUGUAGAGGCAGAAAGAAUUCCAGGUGUUCCGUGGAAAUGCGUAAAGUGCUGAAAGAUUACCGGGGACGAAGGUGGCCCCCUGGACUUUCACUGACUGCUCAUGAGAGAGAGCGUGGGAGAGCAAGCAGGAUUAGAUACCUUGGUAUACCCACGCCGUACCACGAUGUCGACUUAUGAGGUGCGUGCCCUUUGAGAGCGUGGGCUUCCGGAGCUAACGCGUUAAGUCGUCCGCCUGGGGAGUACGGCCGCAAGGUUAAAACUCAAAUGAAUUGACGGGGGCCCGCACAAGCGGUGGAGCAUGUGGUUUAAUUCGAUGCAACGCGAAGAACCUUACCUACUCUUGACAUCCAGAGAACUUAGCAGAGAUGGUUUGGUGCCUUCGGGAACUGUGAGACAGGUGGUGCAUGGCUGUCGUCAGCUCGUGUUGUGAAAUGUUGGGUUAAGUCCCGCAACGAGCGCAACCCUUAUCCUUUGUUGCCAGCGGUUAGGCCGGGAACUCAAAGGAGACUGCCAGUGAUAAACUGGAGGAAGGUGGGGAUGACGUCAAGUCAUCAUGGCCCUUACGAGUAGGGCUACACACGUGUUACAAUGGCGCAUACAAAGAGAAGCGACCUCGCGAGAGCAAGCGGACCUCAUAAAGUGCUUCGUAGUCCGGAUUGGAGUCUGCAACUCGACUCCAUGAAGUCGGAAUCGUUAGUAAUCGUGGAUCAGAAUGCCCCGGUGAAUACGUUCCCGGGCCUUGUACACACCGCCCGUCACACCAUGGGAGUGGGUUGCAAAAGAAGUAGGUAGGUUAACCUUCGGG